rnacentral:rRNA from 1 species
AGAGUUUGAUCAUGGCUCAGAGCGAACGCUGGCGGCAGGCUUAACACAUGCAAGUCGAACGGGCGUAGCAAUACGUCAGUGGCAGACGGGUGAGUAACACGUGGGAACGUACCUUUUGGUUCGGAACAACUGAGGGAAACUUCAGCUAAUACCGGAUAAGCCCUUACGGGGAAAAGAUUUAUCGCCGAAAGAUCGGCCCGCGUCUGAUUAGCUAGUUGGUGGGGUAAGAGCCCACCAAGGCGACGAUCAGUAGCUGGUCUGAGAGGAUGAUCAGCCACAUUGGGACUGAGACACGGCCCAAACUCCUACGGGAGGCAGCAGUGGGGAAUAUUGGACAAUGGGCGAAAGCCUGAUCCAGCCAUGCCGCGUGAGUGAUGAAGGCCCUAGGGUUGUAAAGCUCUUUUAACGGGGAAGAUAAUGACGGUACCCGUAGAAUAAGCCCCGGCUAACUUCGUG